AGCAGAAGGAGAAGGAUGAAGGAACUGAAGGAAAGGUGCAUUCCGGGAAUGCGGUGUAGAAGAAAAAGAGGAGCCUGUCAGGACCUGGACAGAGAACAAUUGACGAUCUGCACUUCUCUAACAAUGAGAGGGAGGAAAGUAAAAGUCAGGAAGACUGAUCUGUGUAUCAGGCAAAUAUGUGCAGUGUUUCAUGCCAGUGGACCUCUCACCUCGUCGACAAGGGAGGACAUACAAAGGCAGCUCAUGGCUAUGAGACUGCGAAUGAAGACUAAAGUCUUUUUGGUGGGAGGCAGACACUCUGAGAACAUCGCUGCCAACACCAGCCUUGCUUUCAGAGGCAAAGACAAGACAAAACAGACAAGACAAGACAAGACAACCUGGGCUAGAUACUGCCUCACGACAACAUAGGGAAACCAUCUCUUUACAUUCAGGACACUUAGAUAACCCGCUGGGGGUGAACAUGCAAUCUAUGAACAUCAUAAGUUUCCUUUAUGAAAAAACAUUGCCUCCCACUUCAAAGACGAAACAUUUGGGACUGGCAACAGUCUCUGAGAACAUUCCAGUUAUUAUAGUCUGUUCUGGGGAGCGCUUCUAGACUCAGAGCACUCUGUGGAUGAGAUCCUUGUGGCUGGAGACAAUGCUCUGGAAACAAUGCUUUGCUAGAUUAUCCACGAGAAAAAAAUUUCAAUACUCUGACUUUCAGCCAACAAGACUUCAACACAGGAGACAAGAGUCUCUGAAAACAUUCCAGUUGCAAGCCUCUCUCUGUGGAUACACUGAGUCUCCAAGCGCUUUGAGGACAAGACUGGGACUGGAGACACUCUCUCUGGGAACACUGCGCUUACUUACUACCUGCUUUCUCUCUGGGGAAACACAUCGAGUCUCAGAAGGCAUCGAGGAAAAGACAAGGGUUGAAGUCGCUUUCUGAAAACUUUGUAUUUACAAUAGGCUGGCUGUACAUGCAGCUAGUCUGACAACGCUCGGUGAAUGAGCUACUUACAGUUGGAGAUACACACUCUGACAACAUGCAAAAUCGAGACUCAAGAGAAGCAACCAAAGCACAGAGGAAGAGCUCCACACAUCAGGUACUGGACAGGCUCUGGACUUUUGACAGCCUGGCUCCAUCUAUGGGAACGGAGAGAGACAGAGAUCUUAACCCUUUGUCCCCAUGCGAUACGUGAAAGGGGCUUCGGAGCCCUUGAAACACCUGUUGAUCUGCACAGCAUCUAGAAAGACGGCGUGGGGCCCGAACAGGGCCAGGGGCGGGGCUUCAAGGGCUGGAUCACCUGGGUGCUCAGGUUGAGGCAAACCACGUGGUCAAAGGCUCUCUACCCCAGACCGGAAGCUGUGGAGGAGGUGACAGGAAGUCCAAAGUGAGCUCCGUGUGUCGUUGAGGACAGGAGGAGGUCGUGACAGACCCUUUUCUUGAGAUUGUUGCAAAGCCUGGGGACUUUGUAACACCAGGAGUAUUGAUCAAAUAUUUUAGAACUUGCUUGGACCUGUGCUGGGAUACCUUACUACCCGUCUGCAGAGAGCUGACAGCAUAAACCCUUCAACCACGAAACGAAAAAGGAACUUCUUGCUCCAACCCCAUCCCUCGAACUCUGAUUAAGUCUCAGAAAGAAAGAAAGCUCCAACCCAGCUGGGAGGAUCUCUACUUGGUGGUGCUCCAGACCGCUGACCAGCUGAAAAGGGCUGGAUUCAUCCUACCAGAGCACAGGGACCAAUUGACCGGCCUCAGCAGUUUCCCAGUGGACUGACUAUUCAACCAACAACUAUCCCCCAUGGCUGAAGUUCAAGGAGAAAUAAGAGAACAAGGGGAUUCUGAGUGGCCAGUAUUGGGCUGGGAUCCUGGUCCCGAUGAUCAGCCUCAUUGGACACCAGAGAAAAGGUUUGACCAACUGUGUCUCCCCCUAUUAGACAACUGGACAACCGGUCCAGGCCUGGUCUUGACCUGGGAGGCGAACGUGUGUUCAGAUUCUGAGAUAAUGGUUUACCAGGGCCUGUUCCCCCUACGCCGCCCCAGCGACAGGGAACUGGUCACUUUUUGGGCUCUGACUUUUAAGUCUAGACAGGGAGAAGGCCAGUGUUAUUUUCUGAGACAGAGAGGCAACCGGGAUAUUGAGGUGUUUGAAUUAAUAGGUCAAACCGCUCAGCCCAAGCUGGAGAAGACCACGGGAGGCUGGCCCAACCAGGUGAUCCAAGAUCCCCCUGAGUUAGCGAGCUUCCAUUACCAAAGGUGCCGGGCAUGUAGACUCCGCACCUCCCGUGGCAGAGCCCAGCUCCCCUAAACCAAGUGCGGGGGAGCGGGAAUAAGCGCCCUCCUGCCAGACCAGGGUCAGGCCCACAGCGCAACCCCUCGAGAGCCCCCACCUAAGUGAACAUCGCCCUUAGCUCCCAAAUGAUGCCCCACGCCCAGGGGAAGUCCGAAAUGGGCUCCUUCCUACUGAGAGCCCGGCCACAGUGGAAGCAGGCUGUGGUGUAGGGCACUAGGACCAAAGGGGGGGUGGAUGUGACCUAGGAGCUGAGCUGAGACGGGGUGUACAGGGGGGGCAUGACAAGGGGAAGCUGACUGCCUGUGGGGGCCUUGGGAAGUUGUGCACCUCCUAGUGCCAGCCAGUGGGAAAAGGAGGGAAUGCAAAGUUGCUUGUGCCCUGUUGUAAUAAACUGCCUUGCUGUUUGACUGUGGAAA